rnacentral:rRNA from 1 species
UACAGAGGGUGCGAGCGUUAAUCGGAAUUACUGGGCGUAAAGCGCGCGUAGGCGGCUUUUCAAGUCGAUUGUGAAAUCCCCGGGCUUAACCUGGGCAUUGCGUUUAAGACUGUUUAGCUUGAGUACUGUAGAGGAUAGUGGAAUUUCCAGUGUAGCGGUGAAAUGCGUAGAUAUUGGAAGGAACACCAGUGGCGAAGGCGACUAUCUGGACAGAUACUGACACUGAGACA